rnacentral:rRNA from 1 species
ACCUGCGAUAAGCCUCGUGGAGCUGGAUAUGAGCUACGAAACGGGGAUUUCCGAAUGGGGAAACCUAACCGAAGUAAUGUUCGGUUGCCUUGUAAUGAAUAAAAUAGUUACUUGAGCGAGACACGUUGUGAACUGAAACAUCUUAGUAGCAACAGGAAGAGAAAAUAAAUAAUGAUUCUAUCAGUAGCGGCGAGCGAACGUAGAAGAGCCCAAACCAACGAAUGUUGGGGUUGUAGGACAAUCUACAUGAAGUUACAAAUCUAUAUCAUAGCAGAAAGAGUUGG